rnacentral:rRNA from 1 species
CGAGACGGAUUAUAGCUUGCUAUAAUUGUCAGCUAAGUGGCGCACGGGUGAGUAAUGUAUAGGUAAUAUGCCUCUUACUAAGGGAUAACAAAUGGAAACGUUUGCUAAUACCUUAUACUCCUUAUUAACAGAAGUUAAUAAGGGAAAGAUUUAUUGGUAAGAGAUUAGCCUGUAUUGUAUCAGUUAGUUGGUGGGGUAAUGGCUUACCAAGACUAUGACACAUAACUGGUUUGAGAGGAUGAUCAGUCACACUGGAACUGAGACACGGUCCAGACUCCUACGGGAGGCAGCAGUGGGGAAUAUUGCACAAUGGACGAAAGUCUGAUGCAGCAACGCCGCGUGGAGGAUGACACAUUUCGGUGCGUAAACUCCUUUUAUAUGAGAAGAUAAUGACGGUAUUAUAUGAAUAAGCACCGGCUAACUCCGUGCCAGCAGCCGCGGUAAUACGGGGGGUGCAAGCGUUACUCGGAAUCACUGGGCGUAAAGAGCAUGUAGGCGGAUUGAUAAGUUUGAAGUGAAAUCCUAUAGCUUAACUAUAGAACUGCUUUGAAAACUGUUAAUCUAGAAUGUGGGAGAGGUAGAUGGAAUUUCUGGUGUAGGGGUAAAAUCCGUAGAGAUCAGAAGGAAUACCGAUUGCGAAGGCGAUCUACUGGAACAUUAUUGACGCUGAGAUGCGAAAGCGU